CUCCAGCUGACGAGUCCCAAAUAGGACGAAACACGCUUCCUGAAU
rnacentral:hammerhead_ribozyme from 1 species